rnacentral:rRNA from 1 species
GAUGAACGCUAGCGGCAGGCUUAACACAUGCAAGUCGUGGGGCAGCGCGGACUUCGGUCUGGCGGCGACCGGCAAACGGGUGCGGAACACGUACGCAACCUCCCUCAGAGCGGGGAAUAGCCUCUCGAAAGAGAGAUUAAUACCCCAUAGUAUCUUGAAGACACAUGUCUAUGAGAUUAAAGCUUCGGCACUUUGAGAUGGGCGUGCGGCUGAUUAGGUAGUUGGUAGGUAACGGCCUACCAAGCCGACGAUCAGUAGCUGAUGUGAGAGCAUGAUCAGCCACACGGGCACUGAGACACGGGCCCGAUCCUACGGGAGCAGCAGUGAGGAAUAUUGGUCAAAUGGAGGAAACUCUGAACCAGCCAUGCCGCGUGGAGGAUGAAGGUCCUAC